UCUACGGGUGGCAGCAGUGGGGAAUAUUGCACAAUGGGCGAAAGCCUGAUGCAGCAACGCCGCGUGAAGGAAGAAGGGUUUCGGCUCGUAAACUUCUAUCAACAGGGACGAAAGAAAUGACGGUACCUGAAUCAGAAGCCCCGGCUAACUACGUGCCAGCAGCCGCGGUAAUACGUAGGGGGCAAGCGUUAUCCGGAAUUACUGGGUGUAAAGGGUGAGUAGGCGGCAUGGUAAGCCAGAUGUGAAAGCCUUGGGCUUAACCCGAGGAUUGCAUUUGGAACUGCCGGGCUGGAGUGCAGGGGAGGUAAGCGGAAUUCCUAGUGUAGCGGUGAAAUGCGUAGAUAUUAGGAGGAACACCAGUGGCGAAGGCGGCUUACUGGACUGUAACUGACGUUGAGGCUCGAAAGCGUGGGGAGCAAACAGGAUUAGAUACCCGGGUAGUC
rnacentral:rRNA from 1 species